GACAGAGGAUGCAAGCGUUAUCCGGAAUGAUUGGGCGUAAAGCGUCUGUAGGUGGCUUCUUAAGUCCGCUGUCAAAUCCCAGGGCUUAACCCUGGCCAGGCGGUGGAGACUACUAAGCUUGAGUACGGUAGGGGCAGAGGGAAUUUCCGGUGGAGCGGUGAAAUGCGUAGAGGUCGGAAAGAACACCAAGGGCGAAGGCACUCUGCUGGGCCGACACUGACACUGAGAGACGAAAGCUAGGGGAGCGAAUGGG
rnacentral:rRNA from 1 species